GGACCCGCACAAGUAGUGGAGCAUGUGGUUUAAUUCGAAGAUACGCGCAGAACCUUACCAACACUUGACAUGUUCGUCGCGACUCUAAGAGAUUAGAGUUUUCGGUUCGGCCGGACGAAACACAGGUGCUGCAUGGCUGUCGUCAGCUCGUGUCGUGAGAUGUUGGGUUAAGUCCCGCAACGAGCGCAACCCUCACUUUUAGUUGCCAUCAUUUAGUUGGGCACUCUGAAAGAACUGCCAGUGAUAAGCUGGAGGAAGGUGGGGAUGACGUCAAGUCCUCAUGGCCCUUACGUGUUGGGCUACACACGUGCUACAAUGGUAUCUACAAAAGGAAGCAAGACCGCGAGGUUAAGCAAAUCCUUAAAAGAUACCUCAGUUCGGAUUGCACUCUGCAACUCGAGUGCAUGAAGCUGGAAUUACUAGUAAUCGU
rnacentral:rRNA from 1 species